rnacentral:lncRNA from 1 species
UUUGGUGUACAAAUUACUUCAUCACUCAGAUAAUGAGCAUAGUACCUGACAGGUAGUUUUUCAGUCUUCAACCUCCUAUCACCCUCCACCAUCAAGUAGACCCCAGUGUCUAUUAUUCCUUUCUUUGUGUCCAUGUGUACUCAAUAUUUAGCUAACACUUGCAAGUGAGAACAUGUAAUAUUUUGUUUUCUGUUUCUACAUUAAUUUGCUUAUGCUAAUAGUCUCCAGAUCCAUCCAUAUCGCUGUGAAAGAUAUGAUUUUGUUCUAUUGUUAUGGCUACAUAGUAUUCUAUGGUGUAUAUGUACCACAUUUUCUUUAUCCAGUCCACUGUUGAUGGAUAGGCAUUUACAUUGAUUCCGUGAGUUUGCUAUUGUGACUAGUACUGUGAUGAAUAUACACAUGCAUGUGACUUUAUGAUAGAAUUAUUUAUAUUUCUUUGCCAGUAUUUCACUCUCUUUAGGAAGCCCUUUCCGACCUCCCUUACUCAUUCUUUUUGUGUAACACUUCAGAACACAAUGUGCCUAUUCUUCAUAUUACUUGCUGCUGUCACAUUUUGCAGUUUCAGGAUAAUCAGGUAAAUAAAUAUCUGCAUCUUUCACUAGGUUGUAAGUUCCAUAAGAGCCUUGCUUUAGUCUAUUGUGUACAUUACCUGGUACACAAUGGGCAUUCAAUAAAUAAUUGUUAAAUGAAUUAUAUAAUGCCAUAGUAGUUUUUAGCAACAAGUGGGCAUUUACCAUGUUCCAGAAAAUUUGGCAAGUGUUAUACAUAAAUUGUCUCAUUUAAUCAUCUCAAUUAUCUUAUGAAGAGAGUACUAUUAUUAUAUUAUUUUCUAUAGAUAAAGAAAUUGGGCCCAAAUAAUCUAAAAAUAUUUCUCAAAUUUGCAUAACUAAUAAAAGGCAGAAAAACAAUUUAAAUAUAUUUCUGUUAGGCUCCAAAGUUUGUGUUUAUUAGAAACUCAAGCUCUUUCAGUUUGUCUUUGCUAGAAUAGUUUAUCUGGACAUUUUAUUGCUGUCACAAGCCUUAAUAUAAAAUGUUAUCUUAUAUUUUUAUUUUCAGGAGGUCUCUACUAUAUAUUACUUGUUAAAAUUUUUAGGAAGCUUUAGGUUUGUUUUUCAGUGAUUCACUUAAGCAGGCAAAAAAUCCUACGUAUAAAUGACAUUUUCUGUCAAAUGAAACCUCUAUUUUCCUGUUAGUGUUUGCCUUUCACAUGUAAUACAUAUAUUUUAGCAUAUACAUCACCUCAUGCAAGGAAUAUUAACUUUAUAAUGUAUAAUACUUGAUAUAAGGUUUUGAAAAACACUGUUCCAUAACAUUUAAUAAAUCCAGGUCUUAGACCAAAGUGCAAAAUACACUGACUGACUUACUCAGUGCCUAGGCAAACUUGAAGAAGUUUUGGUACUAUUUUCAAAGUUUAUGCCUUCUCUCAAUGUUGAUAGAUGCUUGUAUUUCCGAGCUUAGCUGCAGAAUAACCUGAAUUUCAUACUACGGUGUCAUCUUUAUGUUGUUUCAACAUGUUAAUGAUGACAGACAUCCUCAUUCCCUAUUGGCAGUUACCCAUUCAAGACGUCUUUUAAUUUUUAUAGAUGUGCGAAUUAGAUGGCAUUAUUAGGAGUGCGGGUUGCUUGUGUUUUUGUAACUAUGUGUUGCCUUUUCAUUAUAAUCACCAUAUUGUGCAAUUCUAGGGAUCCCAAUCUCUAUUUUAGUUUAUGUAAAUGAUUCCUAAGGAGUUUCAUAGUGUAUAGCCUGUGAAGCCAUAUAUUGUGAAGUAUCAUCUUCUCUUUCUUAUUCACCCACAAAUAGUGAGUGAAUUCCACAUAGUAAUCACAGAAACAUAAAACGAAGACUUUGCUUAUUAUGUCCUCUGUUACCAACAUCAUAAAUGUCUUAUAUUUCCACACCUGAAUUUACAUAUAGUAAUGUCUUAUAUACUUCAAUUCCAAACAUUCUUGUAUUAAUUAGGCCUCUUAGUGACAAACACCUGAAACCAACUCUAACAAGUUAAGUAAAAACAAAUUUAGUAAGCGAUACUGAGGGCUCACAGAAGUGAUAAAAGGGUAGAAGAUCAGGAGGAUCUAUGAGAGCGAGGAGUAGGACACACACACAAAAAACACAGCUACUGUCUUUUAGAAGGGCCCACCCAUUUAAUAGAUAUUGCUGGCUUGUCAGUUUUUCUGCCAUCACCACCACAGCUGCUAUUGUAAUAGAUAUGUCAAAGUAUGUAUCCUGACUUUAAUACUUUAUUCAAUAUUUAAAGUCCAGGGAAAGGGUUUUUGAUUGGCUGCAAUUAGAUCAUGUGUCCAACCUCCUGAUCCUCUCAGCCCUAUAGGCGGAGUUAUGAAAUGGAACAGUGGAAGAUGGGCACAGGGAUUUAUCACUGUGCCAAUACUACACAUAAUGAAGAAGUAGUAAAUUCCCAAAAGUAAACUGAAAUGUUAUUAGGAAGGAUGUGGUUUCUGGCAGCCAAAAAUCCCUCAAUUUGAGCAAUGUCUGCUAUAAGCCCUCUUUCAUGUCAAUUAUGGGUUCCACUUGCAUUACCUACUUCUCACCUGUGACACUGCACAUAAUCUUUUCUUAUAUAAACUGGCUUUGCAGUUUUAUGUCCCUGGUACUGUUGGAAUCAAGUACACUAUCUUGGUUACUGGAAAGUAGAUAUUAAUAGAAUAAAAUAUAAGAAAUGUAAGAUUAGCAUCCCACUUCAAUAUUGUUCAUCUUCCUCAUAGAUUAAAAAAAAGACACUAAUGAUUUCACUAUUUCCCAUGCAUGAACCUGAGAACAGAGGAAUGCCAAAUUGCCUAGAAUUCCCUGGCUGCUGCAUUCUUUAAACUGUAUCUACCUAGGGGUCACUUAUAAAAUGAUGUUGCAUUGAAAACAGAUGGAAUUAUCUCAUACUGUAUUGGAAGAACAUUGCAUGCCCUAGUGAUUUAUUUACUCCCUCAUCUCUGUCCUGAUUCCAUUCUUUUCUCAUCUGUACUUGUGUUUCACUACGGCCUUAGCUCUGACUUUAGUAACAUGAUUAAUAACCUAAUUUGGGCUGGGACUGUAUUUCUUCAGUCUGUCUUCUGUUUGCUUCUUAAAACCAUGAACUACAUUGCUCAAUUCCUUGUUUCAUCUAUUCCAGACACUUUGAGUUACAGAAGUUUUAUUUAUGUUCCUGAGAUGGGAUCCACUCUCUGCUGUGCUUCAGGCCAGUCCAGCAUCUUUUCCUCAUGACCAAAACAGUUUGUCAAGAAGUAUUUUUUUCAAUUGCUCACAGAAAAUUGAUUCUCUGUAGCUGGCAUGUUUCUGUUUGUUCUGAUCUUUUGCUUCCCUCUAGCGGCCAAUGUUUGCAUAUGUAUAUGAGGCUAGCAAACUGUGUGUGUGUGUGUGUGUGUGUGUGUGUGUGUGUGUGUGUGUGUGUGUGUGUAUAAAAUUGAUGGAAUUUCUAUGGUUUCCGUCUCAUCACUCCAUUGCUAGCCAUAUAUAUAUGCACACACAUAUAUGUGUAUAUAUGUUUAUAUAUGAUCUAUAUGUGUAUAUAUUUGAUAUAUAUCAUAUAUAUGAUUUAUGUGUCUCAUAUAUCAUAUAUAUGGAUGUAUACAUUGUGAAACCCAAAAAUCUGAGACAGGUCUCAUUUAAAUUAGAAAGUUUAUUUUGCCAAGGUUGAGGACGCGCGCCCGUGACACAGCCUCAGGUGGUCCUAACAACAUGUGCCUUCCCAAGGUGGUAGGAGCACGGUUUGGUUUUAUACAUUCUAGGGAGACAUGAGACAUCAAUCAACAUAUGCAAGAUGAACAUUGGUUCGGUCUGGAAAGACGGGAUAACACGAAGCAAAGGCUGUAUAUGUCAGAGGAUAUCAUAUCUGAUCAAAAGAAAAAAAAGAUCAAGACAAGAUGAAAAGAACCAAAAUGUGAAUAUACAGUUAUAACAUUAAAAUUAAAGUAAAUAUUAUUUUUUACUAUCUCUGGGGGAACAGAACUAUUUGCUCUGCUGAUGGGUAUUUAUUUCCCUUUUCCUUAUUUAUAAGAAAGUGAAAGAUAUUUCACUGACAUAGAAUUUGACAGUUUCAGGAAUAUCAGAGUAGAUAGCAAUGAGUAUAAAGUAAACAAAAAAAGACAACUCUUAUCUAUUUUUCUACCACUAUACUAUUAUUUCUACUUUUACUUCUGGUACUACUACUAUUAUAAUGACAAUAAAGAAACUACUACUACUACCACCACCAUAAUGACCUCAUAAUAAUAACAAUUAAUGUAAAUCAAGCAAUAACUUUAUACCAGGCAAUGUGGUAAUUACUUUACAUACAUCUUAUUUAAUUCCCACAACAAUGCUCAGAGUCAGAUACUAUUGUAAGCCCUAACUUACAGAGGAAGACAUCCUAAGGCAUACAGCAGCUGCAGUCUGCCUGCCACUGAAUUUUAUCCAGGGUCUGAGCCUGCUGAAGUCAGUUGGUGAAGCAAGAGAAGACAGGCAGAAUAAGAUGGCAGAGAAAGACUCUCCAGCGACCAUCCCUCAAUAGAAACAUCAAUUUGAACAACUAUCCACACAUGAAACAAAUCUUCGUAAGACUCAGGAAACCAGGUGCAGGACAAAGGACAGACAGAACUCAGUCAACCCUCUGCUCACCUGAGAAAAAGUGCAUAUCUAAUUGCUUCUUUGGCCCUAUUGUUUAUGCAAGAAUGCUGAUUCAUUUGUCUAUUUUGGCUUUUGUUGCCAUUGCUUUUGGUGUUUUAGUCAUGAAGUUGUUGCCCAUGCCUAUG